CCUACGGGCGGCAGCAGUGGGGAAUAUUGCACAAUGGGGGAAACCCUGAUGCAGCGACGCCGCGUGAGUGAAGAAGUAUUUCGGUAUGUAAAGCUCUAUCAGCAGGGAAGAAGAAAGACGGUACCUGACUCAGCAGCCCCGGCCAACUAAGUGCCAGCAGCCGCGGUAAUACGUAGGGGGCAAGCGUUAUCCGGAUUUACUGGGUGUAAAGGGAGCGUAGACGGCUGUGCAAGUCUGAAGUGAAAGCCCAGGGCUCAACCCUGGGACUGCUUUUGAAACUGUGGAGCUAGAGUGCUGGAGAGGUAAGUGGAAUUCCUAGUGUAGCGGUGAAAUGCGUAGAUAUUAGGAGGAACACCAGUGGCGAAGGCGGCUUACUGGACAGUAACUGACGUUGAGGCUCGAAAGCGUGGGGAGCAAACAGGAUUAGAUACCCUAGUAGUC
rnacentral:rRNA from 1 species